rnacentral:miRNA from 1 species
CUUCCCGUGUGUUGAGCC